rnacentral:ncRNA from 1 species
AACGACAAAGCCAAACCCGUCGAGAGACGGGAAAGGGAAACUACGGGUGUUCGCAUCCUCGGCGACGUUCUAUCGCCACGAAGGACGCAAGAUCGCCCGGCUGCCGAAG